rnacentral:lncRNA from 1 species
ACAUCAGGCUUGUCAUUCCUCCGGUGGAUCCUCGUGCGACUAGAUACCUAAGAGUCUUCCACAAGUGACCUGUCAGCAGCGCUUUGAGUCUGAGAAGGCCAGGACACAGAGGCACUGCACUAACGUCCCACUGGGCUCAAAGACAGCGUUUCCUCAGACUCAAUCUCAGCAAUCAAAACACUGACAUGGCAAACGGGAUAACAGGACAACAAGUCAGACGCUCAACACUCUUCAACAUGCCACAGAUGCUGCUAUAAGCUCAGAUCUGUUAAGCUGUCAUAGAAGUGUCCUCACCUUCAGUGUCCUGUUAUGUCUCUGAAGUUCCCUGCAGAGUGUCUCCAGCUUACUGCGGGCCAGAAUGGCACGACUGUGUUCGAACUGAAGCUGAUCUCUCUGCUUGACCAGAAGACCCUGUCUCUGCUGAAACUGCUCCAGCUGUUUCUUCUCAGUUCUGUGUUCGUCCACCUGCACAAAACAUGCACAGGUGUGAUACAUACAUCACCACAUACACCAAAAAAACAUUGCUCUUAGACUGUACAGUAUAUUACUUUAGGGAAAAUCUGGAUUUGGAAUGGGGAAAGCUAUCUGGCAUAUAUCGUGUUCUACUCAUCAGUUGAGAUGAAAAUUAGAGAACAACCUACACUGAAUAAAUAUAAAUAUCCGUAAAUUAGCAGUUUUUCGUAUUUUGUGAUACAUAUUUUUAUUUUCUUUUAUUUUUCUAUUUGUAGUUUGUUACUUCACACCAUUGAACAUGUUACACCCAACUCUGGUGGUUAGAGUAUGGCCACUUCUACACUGCGAAAACCUUUGGCAUACUCUUUUUCAACAUACUUAUUCUAUUUUAAAGAACUAUUUAGGAUGGAUAGUAUGCAAAUUGGCAUUCAGAAUGUGAGAGACUAGUGAAGUCUGUAAGAGGCUGUUGAUUCACUUCUUACUCAUUAAUGAUUGCUAUAACGGUUAAAAAUUGA